GGGCUCGCUUUGGCAGCACAUAUACUGAAAUUGGAAUGAUACAGAGAAGAUUAGCAUGGUAUGGCCCCUCUGCAAGGAUGACAUGUAUAUUUGUGAAUUAUUCCUUAUUUUU
rnacentral:snRNA from 1 species